rnacentral:tRNA from 1 species
GAGGGCAUAGCUCAGUGGUAGAGCACAUGCUUAGCAUGCAUGAGGUCCUGAGUUCAAUCCCCAAUACCCUCA